rnacentral:misc_RNA from 1 species
GUUAGAGCGCGCGCUUGAUAAGCGUGAGGUCGGAAGUUCAAGUCUUCCCAGGCCCACCACUUUGAUCGAGCGCAUUGCGUCUCAAUAAUCGACGUAAAGCAUUCGUCUUCUGGUACGGGGCCAUAGCUCAGCUGGGAGAGCGCGUGCUUUGCAAGCAUGAGGUCGUCGGUUCGAUCCCGUCUGGCUCCACCAGAUGGAAUCGAAGAUCGAGAUGCCUCGAAUAAUCGUCCGCGAAACAUCACUUCGCAUGCGCGGUCCGGAUGGACCGCGUCAUGCGUGAUAUCUGACAUCGUAAAGAGGAGAUCGAUCCGAGUUUGGGAUCUGCAAAGCAAUUUGCGGGCUCCCAUUCCUAAUCUCCAGAUCAUUUCGGCGCUCGCUCAUCGCAAGAUGAGUGAGUUGUAAAUGAUCUUUGUAGCGAAGCUUGACCGCCUCGCUAUCGGUUCGAUCUUACGAAGCAAGCUGGUCUUUCUAAUCAGUGUCCAGCCGCAUGCAGCAUUCAUCGAGGGUGCGCGCCUUUUGACUUCGGUCUUGAGGCAAGUGUGCGGACAACAUUCUGCCGAGUGUGUGGACAUUGAUAAUGAGAGCAAUCAAGUGCCUUAAGGGUGUUCGGUGGAUGCCUUGGCGCUGAGAGGCGAUGAAGGACGUGCUACGCUGCGAUAAGCCGUGGGGAGCUGCGAAGAAGCUUUGAUCCACGGAUUUCC